CGGGCUGUGGCGCAGCUUGGCAGCGCACCUGCUUUGGGAGCAGGGGGUCGCCGGUUCGAAUCCGGCCAGCCCGACGA
rnacentral:tRNA from 1 species